rnacentral:rRNA from 1 species
CAUACCUAUUCGAAGGGAUAGGGUCGGUUUGGCCGGAUUUCACACAGGUGUUGCAUGGCUGUCGUCAGCUCGUGUCGUGAGAUGUUGGGUUAAGUCCCGCAACGAGCGCAACCCUCAUCCUUAGUUACCAUCAGGUUAUGCUGGGGACUUUAAGGAAACUGCCAGUGAUAAACUGGAGGAAGGUGGGGAUGAUGUCAAGUCAUCAUGGCCCUUAUGGAGUGGGCUACACACGUGCUACAAUGGUGAUUACAAUGGGCUGCAAGGUCGCAAGGCUGAGCUAAUCCUAAAAAGUCAUCUCAGUUCGGAUUGUUCUCUGCAACUCGAGAGCAUGAAGUUGGAAUUGCUAGUAAUCGUGGAUCAGCAUGCCACGGUGAAUACGUUCUCGGGUCUUGUACACACUGCCCGUCACGCCAUGGGAAUUGGUUUCACUCGAAGCU